AACGAACGCUGGCGGCAGGCCUAACACAUGCGAGUCGAGCGAGGACUUCGGUUCUAGCGGCGGACGGGUGAGUAACGCGUGGGAAUGUGCCCUUCUCUACGGAAUAGCCCUGGGAAACUGGGAGUAAUACCGUAUACGCCCUAUUGGGGAAAGAUUUAUCGGAGAAGGAUCAGCCCGCGUUGGAUUAGGUAGUUGGUGGGGUAAUGGCCUACCAAGCCGUCGAUCCAUAGCUGGUUUGAGAGGAUGAUCAGCCACACUGGGACUGAGACACGGCCCAGACUCCUACGGGAGGCAGCAGUGGGGAAUCUUAGACAAUGGGGGCAACCCUGAUCUAGCCAUGCCGCGUGAGUGAUGAAGGCCUUAGGGUUGUAAAGCUCUUUCAGCUGGGAAGAUAAUGACGGUACCAGCAGAAGAAGCCCCGGCUAACUCCGUG
rnacentral:rRNA from 1 species